rnacentral:lncRNA from 1 species
UUUGUGCUUCUCCCUGCUCAGGCCCUUCCACCACACCCCCAUCUCCCCAAACAUCUGAAGCAGACAUACCACAAUCUAUGACGCCACAAAAUGCCUUUGAAUUUGGUAUUUUAGCAAUGUUGUAGACAUCAAAAGUAAUUCAUUAAUAUUCUGUAGUGUGGGGGUCCAGCCCAGGUCUGCAGUUUCCAGAGAAACAGGAAAAAAGUGGAAACUGUAAUAUUCAGAAAAGAUUAACAUAAUGCUGGAAAUAAAUUUCUUCAAAGAGCUGGAAAGCAUGGACAUCAAGCUUACAAAAAUUAUGUUAAGAAACACAGCGAAGUCCACGUGCUGUGAGGUUUCUACUGUACCAUUAAAACAGGUUCGUCUUUUCUGUGACGCCACAUCAGCUGGCUCCUGACGAGCAGAGAACACAGAUGGAUCGUGCUCUGUCUCUGUGAUAAUUACCAAUCUCUUUCAGAUAAAAGUCAAGAGGGCACACAUCUAAUCACGUAAUCAUUUCCUGAUUAAUAAGAACUACACUUUACACAAAAUACUUUAUGAGCAGCUGUUUUCAUCAAAAAAAAAAAAAACCAAUAGUCAGUUUCACAGUUGAAAAAGUUACACAUUUAAAAUAUUUUACAAUUCAUUAUAUAUUCACCAGGUUCCCAUUUCCUGAUGGGCAGUAAUAUAAAGCAGAACAGAAGGGACAACCUCAGAGUUGAUGACUCUUGACACCAAAUUUUACAGAGGACAUGAAGAACCACAAAAAGUCUCAGGUUCUACCUUAAAAUAGCAACCAGAUUCCAUUCUUCUUCUUCUUUCUUUUUUUUAAAAAAUCUAUUUAGAAACAUCUU